rnacentral:rRNA from 1 species
UCCUUGAUGUGUAGGAUAGGUGGGAGGCUUUGAAGUGUGGACGCCAGUCUGCAUGGAGCCAUCCUUGAAAUACCACCCUUUAAUGGCUGGUGUUCUAACGUGGGCCCGUAAUCCGGGUUGCGGACAGUGUCUGGUGGGUAGUUUGACUGGGGCGGUCUCCUCCUAAAGAGUAACGGAGGAGCACGAAGGUCAGCUAAUCCUGGUCGGACAUCAGGAGGUUAGUGCAAUGGCAUAAGCUGGCUUGACUGCGAGCGUGACGGCGCGAGCAGGUGCGAAAGCAGGUCAUAGUGAUCCGGUGGUUCUGAAUGGAAGGGCCAUCGCUCAACGGAUAAAAGGUACUCCGGGGAUAACAGGCUGAUACCGCCCAAGAGUUCAUAUCGACGGCGGUGUUUGGCACCUCGAUGUCGGCUCAUCACAUCCUGGGGCUGAAGUAGGUCCCAAGGGUAUGGCUGUUCGCCAUUUAAAGUGGUACGCGAGCUGGGUUUAGAACGUCGUGAGACAGUUCGGUCCCUAUCUGCCGUGGGCGCUGGAGAAUUGAGGGGGGCUGCUCCUAGUACGAGAGGACCGGAGUGGACGCAUCACUGGUGUUCGGGUUGUCAUGCCAAUGGCAUUGCCCGGUAGCUAAAUGCGGAAGAGAUAAGUGCUGAAAGCAUCUAAGCACGAAACUUGCCCCGAGAUGAGUUCUCCCUGACUCCUUGAGAGUCCUGAAGGAACGUUGAAGACGACGACGUUGAUAGGCCGGGUGUGUAAGCGCAGCGAUGCGUUGAGCUAACCGGUACUAAUGAACCGUGAGGCUUAACCUU